GACGUAGGGCGCGAGCGUUGUCCGGAUUUAUUGGGCGUAAAGAGCUCGUAGGCGGCUUGUCGCGUCGUCUGUGAAAUCCCGCGGCUCAACCGCGGGUCUGCAGUCGAUACGGGCAGGCUAGAGUUCGGUAGGGGAGACUGGAAUUCCUGGUGUAGCGGUGAAAUGCGCAGAUAUCAGGAAGAACACCAAUGGCGAAAGCAGCUCUCUGGGACGGUACUGACGCUGAGACGCGAAAGCGUGGGGAGCGAACAGG
rnacentral:rRNA from 1 species